CACGUAGGGUGCGAGCGUUGUCCGGAAUUAUUGGGCGUAAAGAGCUCGUAGGCGGUGUGUCGCGUCGGCCGUGAAAACCUGCAGCUUAACUGUGGGCUUGCGGUCGAUACGGGCAUCACUGGAGUUCGGCAGGGGAGACUGGAAUUCCUGGUGUAGCGGUGAAAUGCGCAGAUAUCAGGAGGAACACCGGUGGCGAAGGCGGGUCUCUGGUACGUGACUGACGCUGAGACGCGAAAGCGUGGGGAGCAAACAGG
rnacentral:rRNA from 1 species